UAUAUCGAGUAACCGACCGUAACUAUAGCAAGUGGUAAAAGAUUUGGUGGUUGGUAUCCGAAACCUAAGUUCGAAUUCUAGUUGAUUCACAUUUUCAGCUAAGUUUAUUUCUAAAUGAAAUAAACGAAACGGGUAGCCUGCUAUCUAUCUCUCAAAAAAAAAAAAAAAUCGCUUAUAUACAGUAGGAAUAUUGUAUUCUUAUAAGUACGUUUAUUUUUUUAUUUAUAAAUUAUUUUUUAUUAUAAAGUUUUUGAAUCGACGAUUCAUGCCAUUAAAAUGAUUUAAAAUAUUUAAACAUUUUAGAAACUAAGUUUUAUAAUUUUUCAAUACCAUUUAACUUAAUUAUGAUUAAAAGAUCUCGAAAUUGAUAAUUUUUUAACUACUGCUAUGAAAUAUUUGUUGGUUUAAUAGUGUAAAAGAAUCAGAAUAUAAUAAAUUUUUAAUAGAAGUUCUAUUAACUAUCUAGAUAUAGAUUAAUAAUUUUGAUUUUAAAUU
rnacentral:lncRNA from 1 species